ensembl:snRNA U6 U6 spliceosomal RNA
GUGCUUGUGCUGGCAGCACAUAUACUGAAACUGGAAUGGUACAGAGAGAUUAGCAUGGCCCUGGGCAAGGAUGACACGCAAAUUCACGCAGCAUCCCAUAUUUUU